AUGUUCAGAGGGAGAUGAUGCCACAUCUGGUCCAGCUGAUGGAAGGUCUUGAAGUUCUCUGACUGGCCUCGACUGAAGAUGGUCGUCUCACUGGAUUUAAGGUUCAGAUGCUCAGUAACAAACUCCACCAAUGAGCCAACAGGGAAGCUUUAGGUUUAUUAAAUGUUGCUAUGAAGGUAUCGCUGUUUUUCUUUGUGAAUGCAAUGUGCUCCAACUGAAACUUGAAUUAGAACUUAGAAGUAAAUCCUUCCAUCUGAAAGGAUUUAGUUGCAUUAAUAACCUCAUAACAUUCUAAUUUUUAUUCCAGUCUUGGCUGGAAAUAGAAUCUCUGUAUUGAUUCAGGUAAAAACUGAACUUCACAGCAUGUUGGAGCAAAACAACCAGAUGAAAACUGUGAUGGUGUUGGAUUGUCAGACUGUAAUGUUGCAGCUCAAAGCAGCUUUUCUAUCUCAGUUCAUUCUGACAUUCAGCUAUGAAUCAACACAGCAGAUGGUGAUCCAUGCUGUGGAAGUCUCACAUCUCCUGAUUUAAUGGAGCUGCUUUGCACUUUUUACACUGUUUAUUCACCAACACUUUAUUUAAUAAAAGUCCCAUCUAGUUUUUAUGAGGAAUGUGAUGUUUUAAUUUCUCUGUGAAUAACUGCAGUCUAAUGCAACAGCUGGAGUUGUAACAUCUGUCCUGAUAUUGAUCAUGAAGUAUUGAUCAGAAUACUUAUGGUCAGCAGUCAUCCCUGAAGUUUUACAUUAAAAUCUUUACUUGUGUUGUGAACUUUGGUAAGAAGCAGAAACUUUAGCGUUGCCAUGGAUACAUGAGUGUUAAAUUCUGUCCAUGUUUCCAUUUUGGGAAAUGCAGUCCAGUUCCAGAAUGUGGAGGAAUUUAGUCUCACAAUCACAGACAACAAAUAUUAUCUGAAAGUCGGGUUAUUGUUGUUUAUCAGCACAAUACAAAAAGAUUAAUGUUAGAAAUAUUCCAGUUAAGACUCUAGAAUAUCAUGAUUUAUGUAAAUUUACCUCAAUAAUAUGAAUGUUCAGGUUAAGAUUGUACAGUGAUAUUUAUUAUGUAAGUUUAGCUGAUUAAAGUUUAUGACUCUGCACUAAAAUAUUAUUUAAAUUGACAUCAUUAUUAUAAUAUUUAGGGUCAGACCCUACAGUAUUGAGAUUAAGAAAUCAAAUAUUCUAUAAAAUGUAAAUACACUGAACUCAUUUGGAUAUAUUUAAGUGAGACUCUACAAUAUUAUUUGACACAAAUCUAUCUAAAUCAAAAUUUUAAUAAUUUUCACGCCAAACAUUUACUGGACUGAUUUAAAUAUUAAAAUCACUCCUUUCUAAUCCUCUGCUGUACGUUCAAACCUGAGGCCUUAAAUAGAAACACACAAGUAUCUGAUUGAAGGAACUUCUGCAGAGUCCUGAACAUGAUGAUAGAAUUAUAGACAAACUUCAACAAAAGCUGCCUGAGAGUUUACAGGUUUUUAUGUUGGAUUUCUUCAGUAAUUUAAUGAGCGUUAUCAGCAAUAAUCAAGUGUUCAUUUGAUGAACUUCAUUUCCUAAAACAUCCAGAAUUGGAGCUCAUAUCUUUGGCAGCUGUAAAGUUUCUGCUCCUUCAAAGUUCACAACACAAUGAAUGAAUUCCUAAAACACUCUCAAUGCUGGAGAGCGUUUGUGAUGCUGAAGCAGUGACCAGUUUUUCUGUUUCUUCUCUGGAGAUGCACAAUGAGGGACGUCUGCAGAGACUGAGAAAGAGUCUCACCACAUCCUGACAUGAGGAAAAAGACUUUAUUGAAGACUACAAUGAGAAAAACUAUCAGACAGCAGACGGCUGCAUUCAAGGCUACAGGAGGAGCCCUACGAGGACGAGCCAG
ensembl:lncRNA